UACGAAGGGUGCUAGCGUUGUUCGGAAUUACUGGGCGUAAAGGGUGCGUAGGUUGUUUGGCAAGUUAGUGGUGAAAGCCCAGAGCUUAACUCUGGAAUUGCCAUUAAAACUGCCAGGCUAGAGAGUGUUAGAGGUGAGUGGAAUUUCUAGUGUAGGAGUGAAAUCCGUAGAUAUUAGAAGGAACAUCAAUGGCGAAGGCAGCUCACUGGGUCACAUCUGACACUGAGGCACGAAAGCGUGGGUAGCAAACAGGAUUAGAUACCCUGGUAGUCCACGCCCUAAACGAUGGAUGCUAGAUGUCGGGACAUUAGUUUCGGCGUCGUAGUUAACGCGUUAAGCAUCCCGCCUGGGGAGUACGGUCGCAAGAUUAAA
rnacentral:rRNA from 1 species